rnacentral:rRNA from 1 species
GACGAACGCUGGCGGCGUGCUUAACACAUGCAAGUCGAACGGAAAGGCCCUGCUUUUGUGGGGUGCUCGAGUGGCGAACGGGUGAGUAACACGUGAGUAACCUGCCCUUGACUUUGGGAUAACUUCAGGAAACUGGGGCUAAUACCGGAUAGGAGCACCUGCUGCAUGGUGGGGGUUGGAAAGUUUCGGCGGUUGGGGAUGGACUCGCGGCUUAUCAGCUUGUUGGUGGGGUAGUGGCGUACAAAGGCUUUGACGGGUAGCCGGACUGCGAGGGUGACCGGCCACAUUGGGACUGAGAUACGGCCCAGACUCCUACGGGAGGCAGCAGUGGGAGAUAGUGCACAAUGGGCGGAAGCCUGAUGCAGCAACGCCGCGUGCGGGAUGACGGCCUUCGGGUUGGAAACCGCUUGCGCCUGUGACGAAGCGUGAGUGACGGUAAUGGGUAAAGAAGCACCGGCUAACUACGUG